rnacentral:rRNA from 1 species
GAUGAACGCUAGCGGCAGGCCUAAUACAUGCAAGCCGAACGGCAAGUUUGAUGCCAAUAUUGGACCUCGAGUGGCGCACGGGUGCGUAACACGUCUGCAACCUUCCCGCGACAGGAGGAUAGCUCCCCGAAGCGGGAAUUAACCCUCCAUCACACCAUGAGAGGGAAUCUGGUUAUGUUUAAACCGCAGGGGGUCGCGGAUGGGCUUGCGGUUGAUUAGCUAGUUGGCGGGGUAAAGGCCCACCAAGGCGGUGAUCAAUAGGGGUUGUGGGAGGAACGUCACUGAGACUGGCACUGGGACACGGGCCAGACGGGUGCGGGAAGUAGCAGUAGGGAAUAUUGGACAAAGGGUGCGAGACAGAUACAGCCAUGCUGCGUGCAGGACGAAGGGGUUGUGGGUCGUAUACUGCUUGAUCCAGAGGAUAAAACAUCCGUGGGUGGGGAAUUGAAGGUACCAGGAGAAUAAGCAACGGCUAACUACGUG